GGAAAGAGGAAGUCUACUAAGACAAAAUAUACUUUCUUAGGAUUCCCGCAUCCAUUACAUAGAAAGUAAACGAUGAUGUGAUAACACGUAUGCUAAGGUGGGUGUGCCAACGACCACAGAAGUCUCAUAUUACACAAGACCAGGUGUUCGAGUCGCCGAUGGGUUCAUAUUGAGUUAGAGCAGCUAAUCAACAUGUCGAAGAAGGUUCAUAUUGGUUUAAAGGAGCCAAUCGAUGUCAUUGACGAUGAGGUUCAGAUUUAGGAAAUUGGAAAAAAAAGUUUUUACUCAUUUGGAUUCAGACGUCAUGAAGAUAGAACCAUUUUCCAAUCUACGACCAUAUGUUCGACCCGUACGUAGGAAGCGUGCAAGUGUUUACCUGUCUACCCCAUUCACAACUUUAACUAAACAGUCUACGACAUCAACCAUUAAUAGCUCUUGGUCUCAACCAUUCGUUUAUGAUCCCAUGCAUAAAAUACUAGACACCGAGUUAGAUAGACUUAGAGUUUGGAUUACAAACAAGCAUACAAGCAAUGAGGCUGUGAUACAUUUUAUGGGAAAAAUUGACGAUGUUUUUUAGAGAAUUAUUUAUAAUGUGUCGUAGGUGG